AAAAAAAGAACCCUAGAGUAAAAGAAGGAAAAGUUGCGCAACAGCUUGAAGAGGAGAGAACGAGAAAAGCACUUUGUUUCUGCAUUUCCAGCUCCAUAAAAAAAGCUGAAAAAUCAGACAUUAAAAUAGUCCCUUAAGCUUCGUAGCGCUCCUACUCAUAAGCCUAAUCUUUUGUCCCCUUUUUCCAUCAAACUACAACUUCUUUUGCUUUGAAUGUGCUCAAUAUCAGCCUAAAACUCAGAUGAAUUCCACCACAUAAUGCAACAAAGUAGCCACGAAAACCAAGCUCCAAAAGCCUUAAACUCAGCCGAAAAAUAACUCCAAAUACCAGUCCAAGAAGGUUGAAAUUGAGUUUGCCGAUGAGGUGUUUGUUUGCAGCUCCGGCGGCGGUCCGAUAUGUAGCCAUAUACGUAAGAAACCAUGUAGUCUGGUGUCCAAUGUAAGGAUGGUAAAGUGCAAAUGUUGGACCUUCAUGGAUAUUCAUUGAAAGGAAUAUUCGCACCAGAACUUGGAAAUCUCACUCAAAAUCACUGUAAGCUUCAACUAUACUUACAUGGAUCUGGUUUUAGUCUAAGAACAAUAUCUAGUGUGCUAUGUUCAUAGAAUUAAUACUUCCCGAUCUAGGUUAACACUAUCUUAUCCCUUUACAAUUUGAAAUUGCAUCGAAUUUACAUAUUAGUACAGUUUUCUAUUUUGUUUCCAUUUGUUACUUAGGAGCUGUCUCAUAAUAUAAAGAGUGUCAUAUACAUUGGAGUGGACGUCUGCCAAAUUAAAACUUUACCUUAUUAUUUUUGCCAAAGAAAACGUGCGAAAGUAAUUGGGUAGAUUUUUUCCCUUUUCUAUUUUUUUUACAAAGAGUAACUGGGUAGAUUUUUGGUAAUCAUAGCUUCACCAUCCACUGUUCUGCAUCUAUAUAACUUGUUUUAGAAUUUUAAUAAAUUUUCUUCUUCUCUGAAUGCUUUUCGUCCAGUGUGCUUUCUGAAAACCAUCACUUUGGUCGUAUUCCUAAAGAAUUUGGACGUCUCAUAGCUCCUUGCCUCAUAAUAAUCUCAAAUUAGUUUAGCAAAAGGAUUUAUAAAUAUCGUAGCUUGCUUUAGGCACGACUAAUAAUAUGAAUUAUCGUGGCUAUGGGUACGGUUCCUAUAACAUAGUCAUGAUACUUAAUUCCCAAAUUCGAGUGCACGUUUCGCGUGAUUUGACCCCCGACUUCAAAUAAUAAUAAAAAUUAACAUGUUGUGAAUCGCGGGUGCUUUUCACGUGGCGCGAUUCGCAAUGUGUACAAAAAUACAAACGAGUACGCGACAUCGCGACUUGUUCAAACAAAUUCUAUAAAUACUAAAAGCGGUCAAAAAGUAAAAAUGCACAUAGAUUUCAAAUAUGUAUUAAAUCAGAUAAUUAGGCUAAUUAUUUAUAGUUGAGCGACCAUGCUAAAAUUACGAAACUGGGGAGUGUCUCACACCUUUUUUCGGGUUAACAUAAUUCCUUACCCGAUCUUCUGUGUUCGCGGAUCAUAAAUAAGAGUCAAUUUCCUCGAUUUGGGAUUUUAAAAAUAAAUCGAUGACUUGGGACGCUAUAAUAAUUAUCCCAAGUGGCUACUCUAAAUGAAUAAAUAAUCCCAUUUUGAUUAAUGUCACUUUAAUUGAAAAAACUCCUUAUCCCCUCGGAAAAAAGGAGGUGUGACAGUUCUGGCGACUCUGCUGAGGAUCGAACCCAGAAUCUCUGGUUUAGGGUUCAGAAUUUGAUUUUAGAAUAACUGUUAUACUUGAUUUUUGUUUAUUAUUAUUAUUUUUUACGUGUUUGAGUCUAAUGUGCUAAAUGCCGCUUUUUACCGCUUUGAUAUUGUUUGAACUGUAUAUAAAAUUGUUACGAAACCCUUCUUCUCUUUGAGUGUUCUAAAUAUUCUGGGAAGCACACGCUGGCGUGACUUCUUUUCUGUUAGUGUCAUACCCUAAUUUAGGACGAGUAUCAGAUUAGUUACAACGCCGGAUGACCUUUUGGUUCCUGGUACAUUGCCCCUCCUCGGCUCGAAUUGUCUGCUCGGAUAUGCUAGGUCUAGAAAAACACACCCUAGGAUUUAAACCUAGAAUAACAUAGCCUCAUGCCGGAUCUCUAGUAGGUACGCUUGUUUGCAUCACGUACAUUUGACUUUGGGGACUCAACAAAGAGGUUGGGUCUGUCUAGGACAGGUGUACCUAAAUUAAAAGACCAUCCAGAUGCAUUCUAACGUGCUACUUGUGCAUUUAUUUGUUUCAUCUUGCACGUUGACCGACUUCUAGAAUAGGGAAAGAAAAUCAAGAAAAACCAAGAGUGAAGUAGAAAGAGAAAAUCCAUCCGGUUUUGAAAAUCCCGGUACUCGAAAUAUCCUGAAACUCUGCCAAAAUUUUGAAAAAAAUAAAUAAAAGAAAAAGUCAUUUCAAAAUAAGUCAUAUUUUCCCGUUGUGUCAAAAUUGGCCGAACUAUGCGGGUCUGGUUCUCACGGGAUGUGAGAUACGUAGGCAAAUCUCAUCGGUUCCGGCCCACAAUUUUCAAAAAAUCAAAAAAAAAAUUCUUUUACUUCCUUCUUUAGAAAAGUCUUUCUUCGAGACCUUAAUUUUUUUUAAAGAAAAAAAUCUAAAAAUAUUUUCUUUUAAUUUCUUCUAAAAAUCCAAAAAUAUUUUCAUUCUUCUUCAUAAGUUUUUCUUCCACAAAGANNNNNNNNNNNNNNNNNNNNNNNNNNNNNNNNNNNNNNNNNNNNNNNNNNNNNNNNNNNNNNNNNNNNNNNNNNNNNNNNNNNNNNNNNNNNNNNNNNNNNNNNNNNNNNNNNNNNNNNNNNNNNNNNNNNNNNNNNNNNNNNNNNNNNNNNNNNNNNNNNNNNNNNNNNNNNNNNNNNNNNNNNNNNNNNNNNNNNNNNNNNNNNNNNNNNNNNNNNNNNNNNNNAUUUACAAAAAAAGAAAAAAAGAAAAAAGAAAAAAAAUGAUGAUGAUAAUAAUAAGGACUAACUGAGUCCAUUCUAACGUGUCUCUUGUUUUGAAUUGUAAAGAAAGUUUGAGCUGGUCGGUUUGUGGUAAACUGGCAACACAAGAUCCAAGGAAAAAAUACCAUUGACAACUGACAUCGAAGCUGUUACAGGUGCUUAAGAGACUCAGGAUCAGCGGGUUCAAAAAGAGUCUACUGUGGUUGAGGAAAAUAGAAUAGUGAAACAACAAAUGACCGAAAUGUGUCAAGCAUAGGCCAAUGACCAAGGACAACCUUUUCCUAUUCAUGGUUUCCCAGAGUUCACAUUCAUCUCGACUACUACUAUUCCGGUAUCAUUGUCUGAUCAAUCUUAUCCACUUGGGUUCAAUCUUUGUCCCAACUAUACGACUAUAACUCGAACUUCUGUUGCGCGCUCCCAAAGUGUGCCAUUAACAACCAAUCAGACAACCACUACUGUUGUGCCCAUCUUCACCAUCCCACAGUCGAUGGUGGUGCAGAGGAAAACCCAUGAGUUACAAUUUGCUAUCCAACAAGAACAAUACCACUCUCUUGAGCACCACUCGUACCUAUUUGAUCUUCCUGCAAAGAUUGAGAAGCCUGCCCGAAAGAUGGCACAAGAAGAAAGGACCCAAAGAAUGAAAAACUUAGAACAAUAGUUGAAAAAUAUGCAAGGGUUGGCAGAUCAGAAGAGUAUUGCCUUCAAGGAUCUAUAUAUGUUCCCCGAUGUUCGUUUGCCACUUGGUUUCAAGACUCCCAAAUUUGAAAAGUAUGAUGGACAUGGAGACCCCAUAGCCCACCUGAAAAGGUAUUGCAAUCAACUAAGAGGUGCGGGAGGAAAUGAAGAAUUACUAAUGGCUUAUUUUGGGGAAAGCCUUACGGGGAUAGCCUCUGGAUGAUUUACUGAUCAAGACACCUCUCGCUGGCAUGUCGGGGAUGACAUGGCACGUGGGAUGACAUGGCCCGGGCCUUUGUCAAAUAGUUCCAAUACAACAUGGACAUUGCCCCGGAACGUAAUUCCCUUUCAAAUAUGAAGAGGAAACCAAUUGAAAGUUUUAGGGAAUACGCCAUUAAAUGGAGAGAGCAAACAGCUAGAGUUAAGCCACCCAUAGAUGACCACGAGCUAAUAACUGUCUUCCUUCAGGCUCAAGAGCCAGAUAAUUUUCAAAACAUGAUGUUCGCAGUGGGCAAAUCCUUCUCGGAAGCAAUCAAAAUGGGGGGGAAUGGUUGAGAACGGCCUUAAGACGGGCAGAAUUAUGAGUUAAGCAGUUCUAAAAGCCAUAACUCAGGUUGUCUAGAUUGAAUCCGUUAAUUUUAGUGACAUGAAUGAGAAGGAUGAAGAAACCAUGAUGACAUCAGGGUCGAGAAGAGGUCCUAGGAGAGCAUCUCGAAGGUAUGACCAGCCUCAUCUGGUUUCCGAUGAUGCUCCUGAGCACUAUUAUCCACCUCAGAACCCAUAAUACUUUGUUGUUGCACCUCAGUAUGUUGUCCAGCCAUCAAAACACCCCAGAAGGCGAGCACGAGCAUCAUAAAAUCUCCACCAGCCUCCACAAAAUUUUCAAAUGCCCUAUAACCCACAUCCAAGCUUGGGGUAUAGAGGGGAACAAAGGUUGAAAGAUAAUUUUAUACCAAUAGAAAUCAUAUGCAAGCUUGUUUGAGAAAUUAAAGUAUUAUGACAUGAUUGCACCAAUUCCUCCAAAUUAUGUGGACCCACAUGAAUCUUUGACCUUUCUAGAAGGUGUGAAUAUCAUUCCAAUGCCAGGGGCACAAUGUUGAAAGCUGCCAGGAUUUAAAAAGAGAAAUAGAAAGGAUGAUCCAGGAAAAAUUGAUUAUGAUUGAAGAAGGCCUUGGUGAUUCUGAUGAGCAAAUUUAUGGCUAAAUGUCAAGCUUAGCAAUUGAAAAGUCAUUCCCUCCUCACUAGGAAGGAAUCUUGGUAGCUUGUUUUGAUGUUUUUCUAUUCUUUGGGUUAUUUUAGGGUUGUGACCCAGAUUUUAUUUGUUUUAUUGAGUCAAACCCUUCUAUCUAUCUAUUUUGUUUGUGUAAGUCCUGUCUGUUUGUUUUGUUGCUAUUUUCCUUAUCUGGUUUAUUUUAGGGUUGUAACUCGGAUUUUAGGUUGUUUGUCUUGUUGUCAAACCCUCCCAUCAUUUACUCAAUGAAAUACAGUUUGUCUUUUUUGUGUCAUUCUGCGCUUAGUACUUUUCUCGCUAGUUUUAGUGACAUGACAUGCAUGCGAAAUUUUUGGCAAGAUCUUAGAAAACCAAUUUAGCUCGAACUAGAUAACUGAGAACCAAACACUUUUGAGGACGAAAAAGAGUUGAAAUACCUUGGAAUUAAGCCCGAGUAAAAUUCAAGUGGAACUAGAAUAGUCAUACCCGUGGAAGUUAAGGAUCUUUACCUUCAAAAUCAUUGUGAAGAUCAGAUUUGAGAAUGUUGAAUCAUUUGAAGUUCGAUGGAAAGUUUGACAUUAAGAGAUAGAAAGUGUUUUUUGACCACGACACACCAAGAAGACAGACAUGUUCAUCAAUGUUGUGAUCACGAAAGGAUACUAUGUUUAGCAUUCUCGAGGCUGGGAGGCCCUUUUUCUGCUACCUAAACACUUUAUACCCUUCGUUACCCUUUUGAGUCUAUGUUAUUUUCUUUAACCACCAUCUUUUGGAAUCAAGUUUAGAGUUAAAAGUCCAAAAAAUGAUGCUUCCAUAGUACAAACUGGGGCAAUUCUUAGAAAGUUCAAGUGAAAAAAGAAAAUAAGAAGAAAAAAAUAAUCAAAGGUCCAUUCUGCCAGAAAAUAAAAGAAGGGGCAACUUGUUUUGAAAAAAAGAAAGAAAAAAAGAUAAAGAAACACAAAGAAUGAUAAAAAUGGUUAGGUCAGAUGUUUGAACUAUGUUUGACCUGAUUCCUUUAAAAAAGGAUACGUAGGCAGCCUCACCCUAGAUUCGGUCCAACCAAAAAAAAAUCCAGUAUCUAAAACUAGGGCAUGAGUUUGUUUUAGUUUUUGAAAGUAUCGAUUCCAAGAGUUGUAAGUGUACAAUCUAUCAUAUUGAGUCUGCUUUGAGUCUUCAUGUCAUUCUUUCUUUCCAACUCUAUCCAAAAACCUUUCAAAUAGAGACCUCCUGAUCAGCCUUCAAGAAUGCCAAGAGACGCAUGCAAUGAGCAACAGUUGCCACACGACAUAGAACACUUUCAAGUUGCUCACAAAAAAAAGGAAAAAAGAAAAAAUGAGAGAGUCUUACUAGUGAAAACCCUUACGGGCACUGUAAGGCGAUAAUAAGUAAAGAUAAUAAAUGAGAGAGACUUGUUGGUGAAAAUUCAUCGGGGUACCACUAGUCGAAAGUGAGUCGUGAAGCUGAUGCAAAGGAUUGGCACGAACAAGCCCAACUUCAAAGGCCAUAGGAAUGGUGAAAGGAAAGAUUAGAUCAGUUUGAUAGAUCAGGUCGUUGAUUCCAAAAUGCAUGUCAUGAUCAUUAAAGCUAGUUAUUGACCCAAAAACAAUUCCUUUUAUCCUUCCCGGCAGGGGUAUUUCUUCUUAAUAUUGUUUCUUUGCAUCAUUGUGUCCUCACUCUGAGUCCGUCCUUGUUAAAAUAAGUAAAAAAAAGAUUUCAAAAUCUGCUACCAGCUUUUCAGUUGCACAAAGUAAAUUUGGCCAAUACACUCAGGUGUUACAGUCAACAUGCCUUAAGGAUUCAUGCAAAAACUUCCCCCCCCAAAGACCCUUGUCUGCCUACUUGGCUAAAGCAAGCAAAGAUAACCUAUGUAAUACUGAACAGAGACUAUGAAGUGUGCACAUCUUGCAAAAGGCGCAUACCCAGUUGCGACUCUCUCUGACAAACAAAUUGCUCAAAAAGCAAUAAGCAAUUCAAGAUAUCAAAAAAGGUCACUAAUAACUAGGGAUUCUAGUCUAGUUUAUGCUUCUUUUUUGCUUGAGUUUUGGACUAAAAUGUGUACAAGUAUUCCCCAAAAUCUAAAUUGUUGUGCUUGCUUGCAGUGUUUGGUCAAAAAGGGACAAGGAUGUCAUAACCAGCACAAAAAAAAGAGUGAAACCAGCACAAGUUCAAAACCAAAUCAAAGCAGCGCUAUAGCAUAAAAUCCACCGCAGCCGCAAAAGACUCACCGCGACCGCGGUUCGUGGUGGCAAAGAUUCAGAGAGUUGGCAUUUUUAGAAUUCAAGCUACCGCGGUCCGCAGUGAUUUUGUGUGACCGCGGUACCUCCACCGUGACAACGGUCAGUAUACUGCGGUCUGCGAUGGAGGAGUUCAGAGAGCCUGGAGUUUGAGCAAAAGCUGAAGACCACGGUCCACGGUUGAUUUACCGCGGCCGCAGUAGCCUCACCGCUGCAGCGAUCCAUUUUCCGCUAUCAACGGUACCUCCGUCAGGGGCAUUUUUAUCCGAAAAAUUUAGCUGUGUAUAAAUACUUUCUUUUCAGAUUUUUAGGGCACCUCAUCAGUAGGGAGCACGUGAACAACGACUUUUUCCCAUUUUGAGUAAUUUUG
rnacentral:lncRNA from 1 species